UCUGAAUAUGGAGAACAAAUUUUAUUGGUAAGAGAUUUAAUAUGCUUAAAAGAAGGCUCUAUAUAUGACGAGAAGCAUUUCUUCAGGCAGCCUACAUUUACUGCCAGGAUUUCUACAACCAUAAUUCAAUUAGAAACAUUAGAAGAUUUACGUUCUUCCUAAAAUGGCCACCAAAAUGUUAGUAAACAAGGAGCUAGUACAAUCAUGAAAGAUGAAUUCUCUGUAUGAUGAGCUGUGAACUACUGGUUUCAGUUUACAUUUAAGCUGUGAUUCUGAACACAUGCCUUUACAUCUGAUGGGGGUGACAACAAUGAUUCUGCCUCUAGAUCAGAAGCACAUUUUUAGGUACAAUGGGCCAACUGGUGCGCUGCCUCCUCAAAUUUAUCUAGAGCUUCCAUCUGGUCAAGGUGCAGUCAUCAAGGGCAACAGUUUCCCAGCAAUGCAGUUAACUCU